UCUAUAUCGGGCUCGUGGCGCACUGGGCUAUUCGGCUAGCAAGUCUUUUUAAGUGAAGAACAUACUCUGUUGAAUACUAUUUAUUGCGCAACGAUGUUUCUACAAAUUGUUUUCGUAGCAGCCGUGGCCUGUUGUCUUGUUGAGUGUCAGAUCGACACAGAAAAUUGUAAUGGAUACAGUGCUGCCAUUUCUGCAUGUAAUACAAACAAUGGUCUGACUGGAAAUUCAGUGUUGUCUUUUGAUGAAUUACCCGCAUUAGGUUCGGGUGAUAUAACUGCUACAUGUGGAAAUUUGAAUAAAAUAUCAAAAGCAGUGAAAUGCAUAGCGGAUACACACAUAGCGUGUGGAACAACUGAAACCAAACAAGUGGUAGCCUCUUCUAAUCAAUAUACAGAAGUUCUAAAAACUAUGUGUGCUCGUCAGAGCGAGUAUGAUGGAGGCUGUGUUAAUUAUGCUGCCAUAACUAAAUGUGUAUUCUACAUACAUACUGAUAACAACAUUACAUUAAGCAACAGUCCUACCAUCGCCGAUUUAGCCACUUACUACUGCAGAUACAUGCAGUAUUAUUCGUCUUGUGCAAGCGAAAAUAAACAACUAGGAACGUGCAGUAAAAACAAGACCAAAGAAAUAUACUUAUCACUUGUAGCUAAACUCAGACCUGGCAUAUGUGGAGCUUCAUCCAUAGUUUCUUCAGUUCUUGUACUGGUUGUUUCUCUUCUUGCCGCUUUCUUUAAUUAAAUCUUAUUAACUAGAGCUAUGGCGAUCUUAUCUGCUGGUUAUUUGCCGUCCUCUUAUUUUCUCUGCUGAGAUUUAAGUGUAAAAAGACAAGCUCUUCUAUCGUCUUUUCUGUAUUUUUUU